UAUACAAAGGUAUUGAAAUAAGAUUUUAAAUGAGUGCUAAGAGRAUGAUUGAACAAUUAUAGGCUUUCUUUAGUUAAAUAAUUAAAUUUAAUUUUUUUAGUGCAAAAGCAAAAAUUAAAUUUAGGGACAAGAAGACCCUAUGAAUUUUAAUUUAAUUUAUAAUUUGAAAUUUUAAAUUAAAUUUGAUUGGGGCGAUGGAAAAAGAAUGAGUAUCUUUUUUAGUUWUAAAAAUUGGUUCCGUUUUWAACGAUUAAAUGAGAAAAAUACUCUAGG
rnacentral:rRNA from 1 species